GAGGGUGCAAGCGAUUAAUCGCGAAUUACUGGAGCGUUAAAGCGUGCGUAAGCGCUUUGUUAAGUCUGCUGUGAAAGCCCCGGGCUCAACCUGGGAAUGGCAGUGGAUACUGGCAGGCUAGAGUGUGGUAGAGGAAGGUGGAAUUCCCGGUGUAGCGGUGAAAUGCGUAUAGAUCGGGAGGAACAUCACUGGCGACGGCGGCCUUCUGGACAACACUGACGCUCAGGCACGAAAGCGUGUGGAGCAAACAGGAUUAGAUACCCUGGUAGUCCACGCCCUAAACGAUGCGAACUGGACGUUGGCCACACUUCGGUGGUCAGUGUCGAAGCUAACGCGUUAAGUUCGCCGCCUGGUGAGUACGGUCGCAAGACUGAAACUCAAAGGAAUUGACGGGGCCCGUACAAUCGGUGGAGUAUGUGGGUUAAUUCGAUGCAACGCGAAAACCUUACCUGGACUUGACAUGUCGCAAACUUGGCAGAAAUGCCUUGAUGCGUUCCGUAAUGCAAACACAGUUACUGCAUGGAUGUCGGCAGCUCGUGACGUGAGAUGUUGGGUUAAGUCCCGCAACGAGCGCAACCCUUGUCCUUAGUUGCCAGCACGUAAAGGUGGGAACUCUAGGGAGACUGCGGGCGACAAACGCCCACGAAGGUGGGAAUGACGUCAAGUCAUCAUGGCCCUUACGACCAGGGCUACACACGUACUACAAUGGUCGGUGCAGAGGGUUGCCCAUCCGCGAGGUGGAGCCAAUCCCACAAAGCCGAUCCCAGUCCGGAUCGCAGUCUGCAACUCGACUGCGUGAAGUCGAAUCGCUAGUAAUCGCGGAUCAGCUAUGCCACGGUGAAUACGUUCCCGGGUCUUGUGCCCACCGCCCGUCACACCUGGCAGUGGGCUGCUCCAAAGCCGGUAGUCUACCUUCGGUAGAAGAC
rnacentral:rRNA from 1 species